GAUGAACGAGGGAGGCGUGCCUAAUACAUGCAAGUCGAGCGAACGGACGAGAAGCUUGCUUCUCUGAUGUUAGCGGCGGACGGGUGUGUAACACGUGGAUAACCUACCUAUAAGACUGGGAUAACUUCGGGAAACCGGAGCUAAUACCGGAUGAUAUUUUGAACCGCAUGGUUCAAAAGUGAAAGACGGUCUUGCUGUCACUUAUAGAUGGAUCCGCGCUGCAUUAGCUAGUUGGUAAGGUAACGGCUUACCAAGGCAACGAUGCAUAGCCGACCUGAGAGGGUGAUCGGCCACACUGGAACUGAGACACGGUCCAGACUCCUACGGGAGGCAGCAGUAGGGAAUCUUCCGCAAUGGGCGAAAGCCUGACGGAGCAACGCCGCGUGAGUGAUGAAGGUCUUCGGAUCGUAAAACUCUGUUAUUAGGGAAGAACAUAUGUGUAAGUAACUGUGCACAUCUUGACGGUACCUAAUCAGAAAGCCACGGCUAACUACGUG
rnacentral:rRNA from 1 species